rnacentral:rRNA from 1 species
UUUUCAUGGGGGGCUGUAUCAGUCGCGCUAUACCGUGAAACUGCGAAUGGCUCAUUAAAUCAGUUAUCGUUUAUUUGAUAGUACCUUACUACUUGGAUAACCGUGGUAAUUCUAGAGCUAAUACAUGCUAAAAAUCCCGACCUCUGGAAGGGAUGUAUUUAUUAGAUAAAAAACCAAUGCCUUCGGGCUCCUUGGUGAUUCAUGAUAACUUAACGAAUCGUAUGGCCUUGCGCCGGCGAUGGUUCAUUCAAAUUUCUGCCCUAUCAACUUUCGAUGGUAGGAUAGUGGCCUACCAUGGUUUCAACGGGUAACGGGGAAUUAGGGUUCGAUUCCGGAGAGGGAGCCUGAGAAACGGCUACCACAUCCAAGGAAGGCAGCAGGCGCGCAAAUUACCCAAUCCCAAUUCGGGGAGGUAGUGACAAUAAAUACUGAUACAGGGCUCUUUUGGGUCUUGUAAUUGGAAUGAGUACAAUUUAAAUCCCUUAACGAGGAACAAUUGGAGGGCAAGUCUGGCCCCC